rnacentral:rRNA from 1 species
CCUACGGGAGGCAGCAGUGAGGAAUAUUGGACAAUGGGCGCAAGCCUGAUCCAGCCAUGCCGCGUGCAGGAAGACGGUCCUAUGGAUUGUAAACUGCUUUUAUACAGGAAGAAACACCUCUACGUGUAGAGACUUGACGGUACUGUAUGAAUAAGCAUCGGCUAACUCCGUGCCAGCAGCCGCGGUAAUACGGAGGAUGCAAGCGUUAUCCGGAAUCAUUGGGUUUAAAGGGUCCGUAGGCGGUUUAAUAAGUCAGUGGUGAAAGCCCAUCGCUCAACGAUGGAACGGCCAUUGAUACUGUUAAACUUGAAUUAUUAGGAAGUAACUAGAAUAUGUAGUGUAGCGGUGAAAUGCUUAGAGAUUACAUGGAAUACCAAUUGCGAAGGCAGGUUACUACUAAUAUAUUGACGCUGAUGGACGAAAAGCGUGGGGAGCGAACAGGAUUAGAUACCCUGGUAGUCCACGCCGUAAACGAUGGAUACUAGCUGUUCGGAGCAAAUCUGAGUGGNGUAAGACGAAAGAGAUAAGUAAUACCACCCUCGGGAGGGUACGGUUCGUCGAAGAAAGAGAAAACGUAACAAAUAAGAAAGUUAGUACGGACGUGAGACGUUAGCCGAACGGGACGACGACCGACGGGGAAGGGAGGGAG